rnacentral:lncRNA from 1 species
AGGAGCCUGCCCUCUUGAGCUCUUGUGGUGACCUGGGAAUCAAUGUGUGAGGUGGUGCUAUGUAGCAGGAACCCCUCUUGCUUUGCAAAUAGUUUUUUGUUUGUUUUCCUUUUUGCCCAAUAGAGCCCUGCUCUACUGACCCUUCAAUGUGCCCGUGUGCCUAAAUAUUCCUGGUCGUGUGAAAAGAACCCAGGUAUUAGCUGAACUAAGGAGCACAAUUCUGCAACAUUUUGGCACCCAAACACGGGGCUUGAGAAAUGAAUGCAAUUGGAGAAACUGGUUGUUUUACCAGGCGUUGAUUGGAAAUGUGUGCUUCCCUUUAAGCAGUCAAGCUCAACUUGCAGAACUGAUGGGAACCCCUUGGGAAAACUGGCCUCAAAUGUUUGUCUACACAGUCCACAUACAGGGUUCUUAACCUGCGACUGACCCUGCUUGUGCCUGUGAACCAACCAACAAUCUCUGGCUGCAGCUCAGAAAGGACAAAAGAGAAUGGGUAAUGUAAAAACCUGGAUCAGUAUUUUAGUUCUGAACAAUUAUCCUGCAAAUCCUGCCAGCUGAUGGGAAUAAAUAGGAUGCCCAUGAUCCGGAGGUUUACUUUUUGGGAAAGUAAAACCAAGGGAGCUAACCAAAGUAAAACCCCAUACACCCAAAUCUGAGCAAGCAUAACUAUAGCCACCAGUUAUCUGGGUGUGUCACAAGACACUCUUUUCUUUCCUUUGUUGGAGGAGAACUCAUUUCCACAGCUUCACUUUAGCAUUAUGGCUUAUGUUAAGGAGUCUAUGCAACUUCCAUGCUGAGACACGUUUUUGGUCCCAAAGUUAAUUCCAAGCUUUGUGUCAAAGGCCUAAGAAAACUGGAUCUUAGGGAUCCAGAAGCCAGACAAUAAUGAAAGUCAAAAGGCACAGCACAGGUGAGCAUGACUAAUUCCCGCUGAUUAAGCCAAGCUUCCUGUUUCAUGGAUAAAGGUCAUGCUAGUAUCCAUGGCAUAAAUGAGGUCUAGAGAACUAAAAGGCUACUGCCAGCAGGGGAGAUAGGGAGGACAUAAGACAGGGCAGCUAUUCCCAUCCCCUAGACCCCCUGUUAACAUGGAUGAAAGCCACUUUGACACCCAUGGGUGGCACCCUGUCACAGUUGGUGGGACUCAGCAAUACAGGGACAGAGGAAAGAAAGAGGAACAACUCACUUUCUCUCCCUCACACACCCUGAGUAUUUGCUAGAAAAAGAAAGGAACCAGGCACACAUGCUCCCCUAUUUCUAGAUGAGUAGCCAUUCAUCUUUAGUCUGCACCCUUUUAGAACAUGUCCUGAACCCCUGGGACUCUUCUGAAAAAAAUGCCUUCUUUUUUCCUUUUUCUUCCUCUGUCCUCUAUUCACUGGUAGGUAGGUAAUGGUGUCCCAUACCACAGAACACUUCCCUCAGAUGCAUCCUUCUAACUGGGAGGAGUUAAUUUCUCAAACCGUAGACUAAUUGGCUUAGGAUUAGGUUCAGGGGAAGGGAACACAGAAACAUGACAUGCCAGCAAAAGGGUAAAAGGUUUUUUUUCCCCGUUGGGCUUUUGGCCUCUCUCUCCCUGUGCAAACUGGUAAAAGGCGUCUGGAUUUUCUAGUUGUCCUUACCCACUGCUUGUUUCGUUUUGAUACAUAUUUUCUAAUAACCUGUUUGUCUCUUCUCACUUUUAGGCCAUCAAACUCCAGUCUGCACCUGGAGCCUUGGAUGAUGGCCUUUUUUACUGGGAACCCUGAAAUAGGCCUCUGAGGGAAAUCUGAUUGCCAUUUUCCCAAAACAGCUUCCCUGACAAUAGGAAGCAAUUAAGAUUGGUCUUCAUCCUUAUCUUUAUCCUUAUUCUAAUGGCAGUUAGAGGUACUUCUUUAGAGGGGGGAAUGAGACAGCCAAAUGCCUAGGCAGAUAAAAAGGUGUACCUGGAAAAUUUCCAACCCGUCACACAAGUGUUUACAUCAGAUGCUUUUGUGUAGAUGAGGGAAACUUCCCAGGGCUUGUCUGGGUAUGCCCACAGUGGACUGGAGCCCAAAAUGCACACUGGAGGAAGUGGAUGGAGCCACGUGGAUGUCAUGCCUUAUGCAGGGGAGGAGCCUGCUCUCUUCAGCUCCUGUGGUAAUGUGGGAAUCGAUCUGUGAGGAAACACUUUCUGAAAAUGUCAGAACUCUUGAAAACAUGGAUGAGGAAAAGCAUAAGUACUGCUUUAUGCUUUUCUUAUGAAUUUUAAAAGAUGUAAUUUAAAGAUUGAAACUCCCACAACUUUGGCAGACCAACUCCUCAGAAAACAUUAUUCUUUGACAUCAAUAUGUUUUGCACAAAAUUGAAUGGCAAGUGAAAGGCAUCAAAUGGUGAGAAUCUAGAAAAUAGUGCAUGUACGGGAAGGCUUUGCUCAAUACAAAUCACUUGCAUGGGACAGUCUUCUUUAGUGAGUUUAUUAUAUACGGGAACAGAGAGGUAAUAUGAAAUGGAAUAUGGAAUAUGGCACUAGCAAGCACAAAUAUUCAAAUAUGUGGAGGAACAACUGGAUGUGAUAAAACACUAUAAAAAAAAUAGAGAGAAAAAUGACAGUAGGAAAAAGACUGUAUAUAUUUUUUGAGAAUAAAAGAUAGUUUCAUUUCAUUGGUGGACAUGAGAUGAGUUGAUGCAGCAUGCAGGUGGAUACCAUUUUUUUCAAAGAAAAUAUGAACAGAGUCUCAAAUAAAUAACAAAUGUUUAUAUGUGGGUUUCAAGGACAGAGAAUAAUAAAAUAACCAAAUAUACAUAAUGUUCCAGUAAAAUGAUCCAUCAGGGCUUACAGAAAGCGUAACUAGAGAGAGACAUUAACUUGCAGAUGAUUUGUUUCUGGCUAAUGUUGUGACAGGAGUGUAGCAUUUCCUUUCUUCUCAGUUUCCUAUCUCACUUACCUUUUGAAAAGACAUGAUUCCAUAUUAUAUUUAUUCUGUUUCUCUCUUUCUUUAUUCAUUUACCCUACUUUACUGAAAAAUCUCAAACAUCAUAGAAACAUGCAUGUCUUGGUUCUCCAAGUUUGAAAGGAAAAUAAUGUAGAAAGCUCUGUUUUUUUUGCCCUGGCAUUUAUAUACUCUCCAAUCUCACUACUCCCAUAUCACUCUUCUACCUCUCUUAGAGCAAAAUUGCCUCUUAAAAAAGGACAUUGCACCCAGCAUGGUGGCUCAUGCCUGUAAUCCCACAACUUUGGGAAAUUGCGCCAGUGCACUCCAGUCUGGGAGACAGAGCGAGACUCCAUCUAAAAAAAAAAAAAAAAAAAAAGUACAUUGCUGAUUCCAUUUCAGCAUCACUCAAUUACCAUUCUCUAACUGUCUCUGAUUUGUCUUUACCAAAAGCCACAUCUGGCAUAAUUGGCAAAAGACUUUUUUUUUUUCCCCACCAUUCCAAUGAACACAAAAAUGACAUUCUCAACAUCAAAUCAAAUGAUCACAUUUUUAUUCAUAUUUUACUCCAACUGAAAUGAAGGAUAUAACUAAUUUGUCCAUUUUUCUUUAAGCACAUAUCUGUAUUCAUUUUGAUAACCCAGCACUCUUGAUUGUUCCCUUACUGAAUGUUUGUCUCUUAGUAUCCUUUGCCCAUUCUACUCCUUUAAAAAAACUGUUGCAGUAACCAAAGAGUUAUUUUUGAUUCCACUUCUUUGUCAAACUAAAGUCAGCUCUUUGAGGCUUCUGGAUUUUGAUAUUAAAUAUGUGUUUAGCAGUUCAAAUUUUAUAUAUGUAUAUUCUAGCUCAGAUCCAGAAAUCUAUUUCCUUCUUAUCAUUCUCACUUGGAUUCCUCAAGCAAUUUAACAUGCUCUAAAUAUUUCUUCCAUGUUUAUUUAGGUUUCAACUCUACAUACAGAAUAGACUAAUUUAAUAAUUUUAUACAAUCCUUGGCCUUUUACUUUAUAUGAUCUUCUACAUCCAAUAGAAGGUUGUUCAGUUAAACCUUAAAAACCUAUCGCACACUUUUUAAUUCUCUGAAUUUUCAUCAACACCACGGUAGAAACCUCCUCAAUACAGAGUUUUGUAAUAAUUGCUCUUUAAAUUCCCACCAUGAUAUGUUACUAUAUAUUCUGCUCAGAAUGAAAAGGUUCACUAUAAAACAUGGUUUAAAAAAACAAACAUUGAUUUCUCUGCUUCAGGAGUUUCCUUUCCUAUGGUAGAUGAAACUAGGUACAAUAAUUUGUUGUUUGUUUUGGAGAGCUGUCAAGGCAUGCUCCAUGGCCUCUGAAACUAGGUAGAUUGUAUCACAUACACUCCAGACCAACAUACUUGCUACUUUCUGAUUUGAUUGGAUUAACACGAUGUCAACAAUAUAGUGGAACAAUGUGAUAUUCUUGUCAGGUACAGUCUCUUUGGACUAUGUCAGACAAAUGGCAUGAGAGUUAACAUAGUCCUCGAGCUAAUUCAUAAAUGUAUAUUGUUACCAUUUUACAUAAAUGUAAUCGUUGAUGCCCUUAUUUUCUCAGAGGGGUGGGGGAAAAUUGCUAUUCCCACAUUAAUGUCUGUAUGUUAGUGAAUCUGAGUGAGUGCCAAUCUACUUGAGCAAAUAAACAUCUGGAAUAGCAGCUGUAAUUGGAUCUAUGAUUUUCUUGAAUUUGCAUUCAUUUACUUUUAUUCUCCAGAGUGCUUUUGUAAGGGUCACACUGGUAAAUCAAAAAGAGGAUGUAAUGAGGGAAUAUCACCUGUGUCAUUUUUUCAAGAAUAUCCAAUCUCAUAUUUUCCCCUGCCACACAAUACUAUAUUACUUUUGACACAAUAUGUUGAGUAGGAAGCAGCACUUAUUGAUAAUUCUACUUGCCCUUCUUCACUACUGCAGAUCUCACCCUACUAACCAAGGAACAAAUAUGAACAUUUUUUUCAGCUGACAGAAUAUAAUGUUUAUUCCAAUUAUACAUUUGUGAAAAAGGGAAGUGAAAAUAAGUCUUUUGAGCCAGUGGACCCAUUGUAAGCCCAAACUAUGCUAGGACAUUAUUUAUUACUUGAAGUCUCAUUAGCUGCAUUCUUAAAGGUGGAUCUCUUUGUAUCAAUCCUCAAAAUAUCAGGGUAUUAAAACAAUAAAAGUUAAUACUUAUUCUUUGUAUAUUUCUACUGCUGGUCCUCAAGGGGCUCUGCUCAUUGUAAUCAAAUAGGCACCAAAGGUGCAGCAGUCCCCAGCAUCUUUCCCUGUAGCCUUUGUGGUAUUGGGUAUCAGUGUUUGUCACGACGAAGGAGGACAACUUAGAGAAUUGUGCCCCUGCUGUUAGACGGAGUCUGACAAAAUCCAGACACAUAACUGUUUUAUGAGUAAAUUGCCAAUGCCAAUCACAUGAUCUAAAAUUAAUAUGGUGGGUACCAAAGGAGAGGCAGACUAUGUGUGUUAGUGAGAUCUGAUAGUGUCUGCCACAACACUUAAUAAUUUUUGGAGAAUUUUACCAUGGGCUUGACAUUUGAAUAUUCAAUUUAAACUACUUAUUUAUGAAAUAGUUAUAGGAAUAAUUAGGAACUUUAUGGCAACUCUAUGUUUUAAUUAACUUUCUAAGUGGUGAAAGAGUGAAUUAUUCAUAAAUUACUUCUGGAAACAGGACUCUUCUAAAAAGCAUGUAAGGGAACUUGAAGCAGCAUCUCAAUUUGUGCAAUAUGAUAAAGAAAAAAAACUGUGGGAUCCAGAAAACAAUACACAAUUACUUUUAUUUAUGGCUACCAGAACUUCAGGAAACCGACUAAUGUUUGUGCACAUAAUGUUUUUAUUAUGGAUCUAUCUGGGGCAUAUUGAACAUACAGUGCCCUCAAAAAUGGUCAGUUUUACUCAUGCCCAAUCCCAUAUAUUUUUUAGGGUAAUUUUUCUGGUCCAGUUAAGUUAGACCAGGACAUUUUCACUUGACAAAUCUGAGUAAACUUCUCUGGAAAAAAUUGUUUUUGACCAUUCGCCUAGAAUGAAUCUCUGGGUAAGGAAGAUGCAUAUAGUCGUAUAAUUUACUGUAGUUAUUUUGACACCUUUUCUUAACGACACACCACAGAUUUAUUGCUGGAUAUUUUUUUCCUUCCUAAGCCACUUGCCAUAUAGUUCUACUCUUCUCUAGCUCUAGGGAGGCUUCCUCAUACAGACUAGGUCAACAGAUUCCAUUCCACUGGCUCGUGGAUGGGUUUGGCUACCGAGAAGCAGUUAAGAGAAGAUCAGAAUUAUAGGGAGCAGGGAGUAGGAAAAGGUGAAGAAUUUAUUUUCCUGCUUCCCUGCUGAUCCCCUCCCAGGCUCCUACAUGUUGGUCACAUUUCUCUACCAAAUGGUAGUUCCUGUGGGGUUCUUGUAAAUUCACCUUCCUCUUUCCAUAGAGACAAAAGCUCCCUGCUUUCAUUCACCUUCGAGUACUGCAAACUUUUUUUUUUUUUUUUUUUUUCUGAGAUGGAGUCUCACUCUGUCGCCCAGGCUGGAGUGCAGUGGCACGAUCUCGACUCACUGCAAGCCCCGCCUCCCGGGUUCCCGCCAUUCUCCUGCCUCAGCCUCCCGAGUAGCUGGGACUACAGGCGUCCGCCACCAUGCCCGACUAAUUUUUUGUAUUUUUAGUAGAGACGGGGUUUCAUCGUGUUAGCCAGAAUGGUCUCGAUCUCCUGACCUCGUGAUUCGCCAGCCUCGGCCUCCCAAAGUGCUGGGAUUACAGGCGUGAGCCACCACGCCCAGCCGGGUACUGCAAACAUUUAAACAUUUUAAACGUUCCUCGAAGACAAUUUUUCCUUCCAGGACAAUGACUGAUACACCUUCUUAAGCUUACAACUGCAAAUAAGUCUCUGCCUAACAUAGCAUCUCUGCUAUACAGCCGGGAAUGUACUCCUACUCAAUGGGAUGGCUACACAAUGAAAUCAAUGAGUGACUGCACUUAAAAAAUGCCCAUUACAAUAUGAGCUAUGUCUUCCUGAAGGUGGCCUUUUAAUGUCAAAUGAGAUAAAGUAUGUAAAAAUGUUUUAUAAAUUUUAAAAUGUGAUAAAUAUUAUUUUGUGUGGAUGAUAAAUGUAGCUAUGGGUUCUAUUGACUGAAAGAUAAGCACUGCUCCUUCAUGAAUCAAACCAUUAAUUCCUGAUGGUGUUUAAUUAUUAUCGAACAUAUUUUUCUUCACAGGAGCUGUCAUUUAAAUGUGCUUGCCAACUAGCUUGUUUAUCAAAACAUUCCAGACCCUUUCAAAUUCUCAUUUACAUUGUUUCUUGUUUACCACACCCAUAAAUUUGUAUUACCAGCAUAUUUAACUAUCCGGCUAUUUUGGAGAUUGAAAAAAGAAGACCUGAUUUAUCAUGUGCAAUAUCUCACACAUCUGUCAUUUCUAUUCUACCGCAAUUCGGUGAGUUCAGCCUCUUUUUACUUCAUGUUUGAAUAAUCGCAAUAGAUUUUAUACUGUUCUCACUGCUAAACUUGCUCCCCCUAUUACCCUACAGACACUCAUAUUCAUCUUGCAUAAUACCACCAGAUUAUUCUUUGUCCAUCUAUUUUCCUAGAUAUUUGUCCUCCACUUUCCUGUCUUUUUUUCUGCACUUCAUUCUACCCAUCUUAGUGAAUAGACAUCUUUUCAACUCUCUCAGGCUAUAUAUACAUCAAUUUUUCAAAAUCCAAGUAAAACUUCACGUCCUUGAGAGAAUUUUAGAGAGCGUGUAAUACCUACAUUUUUUUUUACCAUUUAUUAGGAAUAUAUCUCAGCCCCAGUUAUGUGAUUAUUACAUAUUAUAGUAUAUUAAUGUUUGCAAACUCCUUGUAAAAUCAUACACACCCCAUACUGCUAUAUUCAUUUCAAUAGCAAAACAGUUUCUUUUCAAUUUUGUAAUAAAUAUAUUAAGAUCCUGUCCUCCUCCAGGCCAAUUUUCUUCCCCUAUAUUUAAAGUGCUCUGAUGGAGGUAACUUAUUAAUAAUUUGAGCCUAAAACAGCUUUUCAAAUAUGCAUUUCAUUUUUGCACACCAAGCUGGUGUGUGCCUGCAGGCGCUAUUUCUAUUAAGUGAACAGCUGGAUAUUGUGUAGUGGAUUGACCAGGUGUUUGAGUGAACUCAUUAGUCACCAUAUAGAAGCAACUUAAAAGAAUGAGUCACAGUGAUAGUCAUCUCACUUUGGGAAAAGGAAAAGAAAUAAAUAAAAAUGUUUCAUAUCUAUCAGACAGCCACAAAGCACAGUCCCUAUCAACAGGAGCAAAUUCAAAUAAAAAUGGCCCCACCAUACAUAUUUUAUUUGAUUUACAUCUAGCACUGAAGAUAUACUUUAUGAAUUUUUCCUUUAUUCUGACAGUCAUAAAAUAAACGGAGGUGAAUCAUAUAACUUUUGAAUAUCUACAUAGCCAGAGAUAAACUCUGCAUAUUAAAUAUCUUCCAAUAUUACAUCUACCAAAAAACAUAGCAGAGGUCAUAUUUAUGUUGCAACUGAGAAAACACUCAAAUUAUUUAAAGAGAAAAUUUAAAUACUUUACUAAAAUUCACAUUAAAUUCUGAAUUUUACAUGGGUUUAUGUGGCUCUACCAUUCAUACUGUUGAACUUCUGAGUUAUUAAUAUUUACAAAUAACCCAUGUUCUUUCAAAUGAUUCCAAUGCUUACAGAAACACAUAUAAAAGUACAUACAAUGAAAUAAAACUGUGGCAAUGUAGAAAAAUGAAAACUAUAAUAUGACAACGCAAUGAAGCCAGAGUUAAUGUGAGCACAUGAAAUGAAAUCCUAACAUUUUCUCUUCAGCUUUGUCUCUGUGUCUUACUAUGCUAAUGUAGGUAAUAAGCAGUAUUGAUAGCUGGAAGAAGUAAAUUAGCACAUGAAAAGAACCUUGAUUAUUAUUUGUGCAAUUCCUGGAGUCCACUGAUACUUACCAACUCUUAAAGCUUAGAUCUAGGGUAUCCAAACACUGCUUCCUUUCCAAGAAGGAAACAUACAAAAAAACUAAGGCAGCAUGCUCUAAUUCUUUUUUUCUUUUUUUUCUUUUUUAGAUGGAGUCUUGUUCUGUGGUCCAGGCUAGAGGGCAGUGGCAUGAUCUCGGCUCACUACAAGCUCUGCCUCCCGGGUUCACGCCAUUCUCCUGCCUCAGCCUCCUGAGUAGCUGGGACUACAGGCGCCCGCCACCACGCCUGGCUAAUUUUUUGUAUAUUUACUAGAGAUGGCUAGUGUUAGCCAAGAUGGUCUCGAUCUCCUGACCUCGUGAUCUGCCCACCUCAGCCUGCCAAAGUGCUGGGAUUACUGGCGUGAGCCACCGUGCCUGGCCAGCAUCCUCUAAUUAUUAUUCAUAGUUUGUGAAUUUAGGCCUACGUGAAUAAUAAUAUAAUAUUUACUAUGAUGUUACUAUCUACCAACCUUAUUUUUCUUUUCUAUAAAAUAGGAGCCAAAAUAAUAUUUAUGUCAUACCUUAUGAAGUUAAAAUAAAAUAUAACGAAUGAGGGGCUUAACAAUGAGUGUCAUUUUGUAAUUACUUUGUACCAUUAUUAAUUGCUGAGACAGAAUAUGGUAUCACUAGUCAUCUGUAUCUAUUGCACAACUUUAUUUUGAUUCAUUCCUUACUAUUUUGCAUAGAUAGGCCUAAAUUUUUGAUCCACUGCUCAACUCCUGUCUUUAAACCAUUGGUUCUCAAAUAGAGUUGAUUUUGACACCUAGGGAACAUUUGACAACAUAUGGAGAUAUUGUUGAUUUUACAGGGCAACCCUUCAUAAGCACAGAAUUAUCUGGCCCCAAAUGUCGACAGUGUCAAGUUCGAGAAACUCUGCACUAGGCUUUUCUGUCUGGUUACUCACCCCUCUUCUUUGCACUGCCCCCAGUUUUAUGGAUAUUGAAUUCCUGAUUUCUCACUAUAUUAAUUGCACUUAUAGAUAUUCUAAAUUGAUUUGUAUAUAUCUUCCUAGUUUGACCCAUUGCUUUUAACUGAAUUUUACUGGGCUUUUAUAAAGGCCAUUUCCAUGGAGUUUAGUCAUUAUCUUCACCAAAUUUUUAUUUGCUUCAGUCUGGGGAGGAACUCUAUAUUAAAAAAUAAAAACAAACCCAAAAACUAAUUUAUGAAAGACAUUUUAUAAUGUAAUUACUUAAACAUUUUUUUUCUUCUUUCUCAUACGAUCUUUUAAAUUCAGUGAGUGACAUGUGGUUUUCAGGCUGGGUCAGGAAGUUUGCUUGGACGGGGAAAUUCUGUCUGCUGAGACACUAGGGGAGCAAAUGCCUAUGUGGGCACAGGCUGGUCACUGACCUCCUAGGGUUCCCUGACAAUAAAUUAGUCCUAGUUGAGGUCGCCAUCAUCAGAACUUAAUUGGUCCCUGGUACUGGUGAAUCUCUGCACCACAGAGACUAAUCAGUUACAGAACUCAGCUUCUGGGCAUAGGCAACCUUUUCUGUUUUUUCAAUUUUUUGUCAGCAAAGUUGAGAAAAUGAACACACUCAAACAGCCCAUUUCUUAGCUUAUCAAUAUCCGUACCCACUUCUUUCCCUCAUCAACAUGUAUUUUCCAUAUUUUGUUGGUAUUAACCUCUGACACUCAUCCACACAAGAAAGUCUACAAAGCCUAAACUAACUUUUAAACAUUAUUUAAGGUAAUAGCUUUGUCUUCCACCAGAAACCUGGCGACAUUUUUAAAAGGAUUUGAAGAGAUAUAUACCCGAGGGACAGAGAGAAAAAUUAGUGCUGACCAGUCUGGGCCUACUUGACUAACACAAAAUAGAUUAAAUUAAUAAAAACAAGAUGUUCUGCAUUUAUAAACAUGUUAACUCUUUUUAAUGUGUAUGACUCAUUAAUGAGUUCAUAAUUAGAUUUUGAAGGAUUUCAUUCUGGACCUUGCAGAUUGUAUGUAUCUUUCUGGUAAAUUAGGAAGUAUAAUUUUUCAAUAAAAAAGCUCACUGGAAACCCCUGUAACAAGUAAUAAAUAUUUAAAAUUUGCAGAAAUGUUUACUUAUUCAAUAAAUACUGACUCCACAUUAAGAAAUGCUAGAGAUAAAGCAUUUCUAAAGGCAAAUUCUACUGUUUCCUGGUUUUACAUUCUAGAUUUUAAGACAAAGAUGGCUGCCUUGAAAUUUUAGUUAUGUGAAAGAAAUUUCGUAAUGAUAUAACUUUUUCUUACUCUGACUCUGUGAGACUUUUGUUUAUAUUUUAUGAAACUAUUUCUAUAGCACAUGUUAUAUAAAUAUAUUUGAGAAAUCAUUUUUAGCUUUCAGAAAUUAGUUUGCUUAAUACAUUUUAAUUUUAAUAAAGCUCCAUUCCUCUAGUCCUUUCAUAUCUGGAAUAUAUUUCCUAUACAAUAUCUUCUAUAUUAUUUAAUACUGCUGUUUUUUAAAAGAGAAAUUGAAACCUUUUACUCAUAUAUACCAGACUUCCAAAACUGUCUUGGUUUGAAAAUCAGUUCUCCAAAAUACUUUCUCUAACUUAACUUUAUAUCUUAGGUGCAAAUACAAUCCUGAUAAAUACUAUAGUCAGGCAUUUUAAAAACUUUAUGUUUCCCAUAUACUCAGCAGAGUAUCAUCUUCUUGCCCUUUCCCUCACUAUGGUAUCCUUCAAGAACUUAUUAGCUCAAAUUCCAAAUCCUCAAUGAAACAAUCAUCUAUCAAUUUCAUAAUUCACUGUUUUAUUCAAUAAAUAUUUAGUGAAUGAUUUCUGUGUGUCAGGAGUGUAUUGGGAGCUUGGGGACAAAGUGGUGGGCUAGAUAGGCAU